rnacentral:tRNA from 1 species
AUGCUGAUAGUAUUAAUAUGUACAGCUGCCUUCCAAGCAGAAAGAUCAAACAUGAUCAGCAUA